rnacentral:rRNA from 1 species
UGCAUAUCAAUAAGCGGAGGAAAAGAAACCAACCGGGAUUGCCUCAGUAGCGGCGAGUGAAGCGGCAAAAGCUCCACUUUGAAAGCGCUUCGGCGCGUUGUAGUGCGGGCCGGUCUGUGGAUGGCGAGCGACUAAGUCCCCUGGAACGGGGCACCGCAGAGGGUGAGAGUCCCGUGCGUCGCUUCAAGUCCUUUCAGUCCGGUCCUUGGAGUCGAGUUGUUUGGGAAUGCAGCUCUAAGUGGGUGGUAAAUUCCAUCUAAGGCUAAAUAUUGGCGAGAGACCGAUAGCGAACAAGUACAGUGAUGGAAAGAUGAAAAGCACUUUGAAAAGAGAGUGAAACAGUACGUGAAAUUGUUGAAAGGGAAGGGUAUUUGGCCCGACAUGGGUCCUGGCACCGUUGCUCCUUGUGGGCGGCGCUCUGCAGGGGCCUGGGCCAGCGUGGGUUUUGCGGGAGAUAUAAUAGUCGCUGAACCACAAUGUGGGGAUGCGUCUGAUGUCUCCUCGCGGGACCGAGGACCGCCGUUUGGAGGACGCUGGCAUAACGGCCAAAUACCGCCCGUUUG